rnacentral:tRNA from 1 species
CGUGGUUUAGCACAAUGGUAGAGCACAUGCCAAGCAUGCAUGAGGUCCUGGGUUCAAUCCCCAGUACCUCCA